rnacentral:rRNA from 1 species
UACGUAGGUGGCGAGCGUUGUCCGGAUUUAUUGGGCGUAAAGGGAACGCAGGCGGUCUUUUAAGUCUGAUGUGAAAACCUUCGGCUUAACCGAAGUAGUGCAUUGGAAACUGGAAGACUUGAGUGCAGAAGAGGAGAGUGGAACUCCAUGUGUAGCGGUGAAAUGCGUAGAUAUAUGGAAGAACACCAGUGGCGAAAGCGGCUCUCUGGUCUGUAACUGACGCUGAGGUUCGAAAGCGUGGGUAGCAAACAGG